CGUCUGCACCUCGUGACCGUCCAGUCGAUUGCUCACUCGCCCUCGCAUCGGUCGUCUCUCCCAGCCGCACCGCACGUCCACCACCGUUGACCAGAGCCGACGACCGCUCGUUUGCUUUGCCGCCUGCUCUGGAGCCAGUCUUCGCGCGUCAUUCUAGUCGCGAGCGUUCGUCGUCCCUCGCGCCCCCUCGCCUGCACGCCACCGUUCUUCGCGUCGAGCAAGGGUUCGAAGGCCAGCCACUUCUGUUUGACGAGCCACUGCCGCAGGUCCCAGGUCAGCCGUAGUUAGUCCGCUCGGCUGGAGUUGCGUCGCGUCGCCGGUUCUGUGCAAGCCCAGUCCGUUUUCACAGCCGUUGUUGUCUUGGUAGUCGGAUUUGGACAGAUUGAUUGGUCGAGGGAAGAUUUAAGUAGUGUUGUUGCAGUUUCUUGAGGAUUUUGGAAUACCUGUGUGGUUUAUUAGGGUAAAAGUAGGGAUGCGUUGGUGAAUGAUAUGCAAAAUCCGUCAUUGAGCCACUGGGACCAGUUUUAUGCUUCCGUUCAUGAUAUUUAGAUUUCUUUCAUGUUUUUCCACUUUCAGUGUUCAUGUUUGAAACUUACUGAUUAGUAUUCAUUUCCAAACUUUUACAGUUUUCUAGACUCAUUAAAUUUUUAAUUAUGAUUUAUGGAUACCCUGCUAUUUGACUUUUAUUUAGUUUUAAUGAAAAUAUUUUAUUUAA